GCAGCCAGGAGGGAAGUAAAACUGUCGGACGUCUGCAGCUUUGGCCCUGAGAGCUCAUGAGGCAGCAACAGCACCCUAGGGUUUCUGCCAGGCCCUGCCAGGCCCUGGAGAACCUGCCUGAAGCUCCUGGUCCUUGGUUUCCUGCUGCGUCCUGCUCAGUUGCUUGAGCAAGUGGACAACAAAGCUCUGCCUGGAAGCAAGCUUUGUUCUGUGCUUUGAGUCACAUCAGCAGCUGUCACCUUGCCACAGUGUUCCAACUCAUUGACUCUGCCCACAAGAGGUUUCUCAAGUGACAGAUAAGCCAGAAUCAGACCCUGCGGUUCCCUAGAAAUGCUAGUCCUUUGUCCAGAAGUAGGAAUGGUGGCGGGGCUGCUCACUUACUUGGCUUAGCAUUCUGAGGAAAGUCUUGACGUGGCUGAUCUAAAUGGCAGACUCAGGUGGAGGACCUUGCGUCUGCCUGCAAGAGACUUCAGUGAAGAAAUAAGCAUACUGAAGUGUGCAUAGGUUAAAGGGACAGUCAAGUAAGUCAAGUAAAGUCAUCAUCUAGAGGCUAGCAACUUUGGUAACUCUCUCUACAUAUAAUAUAUAAUAUCUUUUUUUUUUUACAGUCCAGUCAUUACCUCCCUCCCUGUCAGUCCUCCCACAGUUCCAC
rnacentral:lncRNA from 1 species